AGGAAGUGGGGCAAGGUCCCUGUUCGGCCCUGAUUAUGAAGCCAUCACUGAGAGCAGAGCACUGACCAAGGGCGGGUCCUUCCAAGUUCAGGGCCACGUAUUAGAGCCCAGGGCUGAGCUCACUAAGAGCCCUGCUGCUGACCAGGCUACCUGAGGUUUAAGUGGAAGUUUCGAUUCUCAUGUGACAUCUUUGCAAACCUAUUUUUAGUUGUCUUCUAUUAAAUACCAGAUGAUCUCCUGAGACAGGUGACAUGGCUUCUCCUUGGUACAGAUCCUCUCUCUCCUUUGACGGUUCCUCUUCCCACCUUUCUUGCAACACUAUCUGGCAGUAUUGUGAAUUUAUUGAUUUUUCAAUCCUGGGACCCAAGGCAGGAAACGUCCCCGGCUUACAUAUUUGGUACAACAUACACAAUGUCUUUGGAUUCAGUGAUUCUGUUCUUGGAGACAGAACUGAAGGCUGAAAACUCUAUGGGGCGUAGGAUGGGUUUGACCGGCCAGUCUAUGAAACCCGUACCGUGGCAGAGUCACCGAGGCUUCAUAGCAUGAACUGGGAGCAAAAUCUAGCGGCCAGAAUUUCGGAACACCACUAAAAGAUUAGGUUAGUGCCUAUGUUUCAUCAGAAUUUUCUCUAGAUUCCAAUCAUAAUCUUGUCAACACAACAAGAAAGGCCUUCAACAAUGAUGGGCUCUGACCUUUAAGAUCCUGGUUAAGUAUCAGGCCCUGCUCUAGGCCCCAGGGCCAAUUCUCCUAGGUAUAGAGGACUAAACCAAACAAAAUCAUGUGCUCAUGCCUCCUCCCAUCAAGAGUUAGGUUUGGGGACAGACGGACCUACCCAGACUACAGCAAAGGAUGCCUUUUCUCAUCUGGUAAUUAACAUACCAGCUUUGGGAAUUAACACAUCUCACCUUCACUACAAGGGGACAAUGUAGGAUCGCC